rnacentral:rRNA from 1 species
GAGUUUGAUCCUGGCUCAGGAUGAACGCUAGCGGCAGGCCUAACACAUGCAAGUCGAGGGGUAACAUUGGUGCUUGCACCAGAGUGACGACCGGCGCACGGGUGCGUAACGCGUAUACAAUCUACCCUUUACUAAGGAAUAGCCCAUGGAAACGUGGAUUAAUGCCUUAUAGUAUGGUGACCUCGCAUGGGGAUAUCAUUAAAGAUUACGGUAAAGGAUGAGUAUGCGUCCUAUUAGCUAUUAUGUAGGGUAACGGCCUACAUAGGCUAUGAUAGGUAGGGGUUCUGAGAGGGAAAUCCCCCACACUGGUACUGAGACACGGACCAGACUCCUACGGGAGGCAGCAGUGAGGAAUAUUGGACAAUGGGAGCAAUCCUGAUCCAGCCAUGCCGCGUGCAGGAAGACGGUCCUAUGGAUUGUAAACUGCUUUUAUACAGGAAGAAAAAGCCAGACGUGUCUGGUGUUGACGGUACUGUAUGAAUAAGGAUCGGCUAACUCCGUGCCAGCAGCCGCGGUAAUACGGAGGAUCCGAGCGUUAUCCGGAAUUAUUGGGUUUAAAGGGUCCGUAGGCGGGAUAAUCAGUCAGUGGUGAAAGUUUGUGGCUCAACCAUAAAAUUGCCAUUGAUACUGUUAUUCUUGAGUUAUUGUGAAGUGGUUAGAAUGUGUAGUGUAGCGGUGAAACGCAUAGAUAUUACACAGAAUACCAAUUGCGAAGGCAGAUCACUAACAAUUAACUGACGCUGAUGGACGAAAGCGUAGGUAGCAAACAGGAUUAGAUACCCUGGUAGUCUACGCAGUAAACGAUGGUUACUAGCUGUUCGGUCUAAUUGAGGGCUGAGUGGCUAAGCGAAAGUGAUAAGUAACCCACCUGGGGAGUACGUUCGCAAGAAUGAAACUCAAAGGAAUUGACGGGGGCCCGCACAAGCGGUGGAGCAUGUGGUUUAAUUCGAUGAUACGCGAGGAACCUUACCAAGGCUUAAAUG